rnacentral:rRNA from 1 species
CCUACGGGAGGCUGCAGUGGGGAAUAUUGCACAAUGGGGGAAACCCUGAUGCAGCGACGCCGCGUGGAGGAUGACGGCCUUCGGGUUGUAAACUCCUUUUGUCAGGGACAAUGGUGAUGGUACCUGACGAAUAAGCCACGGCUAACUCUGUGCCAGCAGCCGCGGUAAGACAGAGGUGGCGAGCGUUGUUCGGAAUUACUGGGCUUAAAGGGCGCGUAGGCGGUGGUGUAAGUCUGGGGUGGAAUGCUACAGCUCAACUGUAGAGCUGCCUUGGAAACUGCAUUACUUGAGUCGGUGAGGGGAAGGCGGAAUUCCUGGUGUAGCGGUGAAAUGCGUAGAUAUCAGGAGGAAGGUCUGUGGCGAAGGCGGCCUUCUGGCACUUGACUGACGCUGAGGCGCGAAAGCGUGGGGAGCAAACAGGAUUAGAUACCCCUGUAGUC